ACAGGAGAGUGUGGCAGGGAGCCAGGAGAGUGGCAGUACACAAGGAACAAUGGCAAAUAGCCCAAGAGGGGUCAUAAUGAGGCUAUGCUAUAUGCUCAGGAAACAACCCAAGGAGAACAGAACAAGGGAAACCUGAGACAACUUGGAAACUGGGGAGAUCGGAACUGAAUUUACAGAUAUCAGAAGUCAAAAAGUUAAUUCACUUCUACAACUGAG